rnacentral:lncRNA from 1 species
GGUUCAAGAGGUCCAAGAAACUGAUGCCAGCCGGACUUGUAGCAUGCCUGAGCCUUCUGAUGAUUUUGAGGCUUGUUUUUAUGCUUCUAUAGGAGAAUGUAGCAACUUGAGAACUGAAGUAUGACAGCCAUGCCUACCUCACAAACAGGCAGGCUCUCCAUACUUGAAAAACAAAUUAGAACACAUCUUACUUUGCUUUUAUCUUUUCUGUAAAAGAUCAAUACCUGUACCCUAAUUACUGGCACUUGCCAGCUGGCAUUUUGCAAGCUAUUUGUAAAAGCUAAAACAGUUUUGUUAAUGAUACAUUUUGAUCUGCUUAAGCAAUCUGUUAACUCGAGGGACCUUUACCUCUAGGUUUGAUAGCUUUCAAAGGUGCUGAGCACACCAGGAAACUGCAUUAGCAUUGCACUGUAUCCCAGAGAUGUAUUG